UUAUUUUUCAAGUAAGAAGAUUUUAUUAAAGUGCAAUGGUGCAACCCCCAUACACAAGUAGUAUACAUGAGAGACACCUAGCUAGAGUACUCAUUACUUGGGGUGGUGUUAUCAUUUCAUUCAAUCAAGAGGAAUCACUUGCUUCAAAUUUGAGCAUACUUGGAAGAACUGUUUGUGAGCCUUGAUCCAAUCACAGCAUGGAUUUUGGCGCAGUUUAUGGAAUGCGGAGGGCAUUUAGUGAAGGGGACAUGCUAAAGAGAUGAGUGACGAUGCACAUGAAAUUGAAGCUAAAGAAAAUCAUGCUCAACGUUCAGUUCCCCGAUUGAAUGAGAGAAUCCUUUCAUCUUUGUGAAGGAGAUCAGUUGCUGCACACCCUUGGCAUGAUCUCGAGAUUGGCAAGUUGUGAGCUUUAUCUUUUGGGAAUCCCCACCAAAAAUUCCUGAAGCUUGUGUCGAGGGCCUUGCACACUGAUUUUGGGAGUUGAAAAGAGCUCAUAUGGUAGAAUGGGAUGUGCUUGCCACUGACCUGAUCAACAUUGUUCUUCCUGCCCAUGAUAAGAGCUUUGAUUUCCAACCUUCUAGUUUUUCCCCACUUUGCUCAACAUUUCUCUAUAGCUCUCUCUUUUAAUUUUGUUAAAAAGGUUGGUAGGCCCAAGUAUUUCAUUCUACCUCCUCUUUCCCACCUCAGUCACUUAUCUAUUGAUCCAAUUUAAUAAAAACUUUCUUCCCACUAGCAUCAUAUACAAGUGGUAAUUGUUUAAUUCCUCAAGUUCUGUACUAAAUCAUGAACUAUUAAAUGCAUGCUUAGUGUCGGAUCAAGAAUCAUGUCCUCUCAUCCUGCUUGUCCUAGCUAGAUUACCAUGUAGAUCAAGAAUCAUCAAUAUUAGAUUGUAAUGAUGUUUGCAAGCACACUUUCUAUUAUCUUAAUUUCAUUAUAUAUUUUUUUUAUAA